AUGCACGCUGGCGGCGUGCCUAAUACAUGCCAGUCGAGCGAACAGACGAGGAGCUUGCUCCUCUGACGUUAGCGGCGGACGGGUGAGUAACACGUGGAUAACCUACCUAUAAGACUGGGAUAACUUCGGGAAACCGGAGCUAAUACCGGAUAAUAUAUUGAACCGCAUGGUUCAAUAGUUAAAGACGGUUUUGCUGUCACUUAUAGAUGGAUCCGCGCCGCAUUAGCUAGUUGGUAAGGUAACGGCUUACCAAGGCAACGAUGCGUAGCCGACCUGAGAGGGUGAUCGGCCACACUGGAACUGAGACACGGUCCAGACUCCUACGGGAGGCAGCAGUAGGGAAUCUUCCGCAAUGGGCGAAAGCCUGACGGAGCAACGCCGCGUGAGUGAUGAAGGUCUUCGGAUCGUAAAACUCUGUUAUUAGGGAAGAACAAAUGUGUAAGUAACUAUGCACGUCUUGACGGUACCUAAUCAGAAAGCCACGGCUAACUACGUG
rnacentral:rRNA from 1 species